CAGCGUCACAAGUGGCAACCGCUUUUAUUGGGCCUAAAAGUUCGUAGCCGGUUUGGUAAAUCCUUUGUGAAAUUGUUGUGCUCAACACAACAACGUGCAGAGGACACUGUCAAACUAGGAAUCGGGAAGGGUUAGAAGUAUUUCAGGGGUAGCGGUAAAAUGUUAUAAUCCCAGAAGGACUAUCGGUGGCGAAGGCGUCUAACUAGAACGAAUUCGACGGUGAGGAACGAAAGCUAGGGGAGCGAUCCGGAUUAGAGACCCGAGUAGUCC
rnacentral:rRNA from 1 species